GGGGAUCCCAAUAUUAAAAACUUAUUUCAAAAAUAUAUAUUGCAUGGUGUUCCUGAAUGCCAUAUCCGCUGCUAAGUCUAAGCAAGCUACUGAUUCACACAUUUUAGUGCAAGGAUGAAGCUUCUGCAAAGUAUACUAUUCUCAGGCCUCAGAUGGACAUCUGUGAGUAAAUUUCCAAACCUCUCUCGUUCCACUACCCUUCUAUGACAAUUUAGAAAGCCAACACUUUUGGAGGGUGUUCACACAGGUCAUAGUAUAAAGACCAACAGGCAGAAAUAUUGAGAUGAGCACAGGAAGGACAGAGCACAGCAAUGUUACAUAGGCAGCAAAGGGUGCUCCAAAAUUCUCAGUGACAAAUUCCAGCAUGUCCUUAACAGGGUCAACAGAACUUGUGAACUUCUGCUCUUCCAGAUGUUCCUGGCUCUUCUGUUUUUCCACCAACUUUGCAGAAAAGUCUGCUCGAAGUACAAAUUAAAAUUUCUGACCCAACUAUAUUGAGGGAUUGAGAUGAUGGGAUUAUAAGAACUGCACUUCACAUUUCAGAGCUUCCAGUGUAAUCAUGAAGUGUUGUAUCAUCCCAUCUAUAAAGCCAGGCAACAAUCCUAUAACACAGCUCAGCUUAAAAGCCAUCAUAAU
rnacentral:lncRNA from 1 species